CAGUAGCCACGGUAAUACAGAGGGUGCGAGCGUUAAUCGGAUUUACUGGGCGUAAAGCGUGCGUAGGCGGCUUUUUAAGUCGGAUGUGAAAUCCCUGAGCUUAACUUAGGAAUUGCAUUCGAUACUGGGAAGCUAGAGUAUGGGAGAGGAUGGUAGAAUUCCAGGUGUAGCGGUGAAAUGCGUAGAGAUCUGGAGGAAUACCGAUGGCGAAGGCAGCCAUCUGGCCUAAUACUGACGCUGAGGUACGAAAGCAUGGGGAGCAAACAGGAUUAGAUACCCCUGUAGUCCCUGUCUCUUAUAC
rnacentral:rRNA from 1 species